rnacentral:rRNA from 1 species
UACAGAGGGGGCAAGCGUUGUUCGGAAUUACUGGGCGUAAAGGGCGCGUAGGCGGCCUGUUAAGUCGAACGUGAAAUCCCCGGGCUCAACCCGGGAACUGCGUCCGAUACUGGCAGGCUUGAAUCCGGGAGAGGGAUGUGGAAUUCCAGGUGUAGCGGUGAAAUGCGUAGAUAUCUGGAGGAACACCGGUGGCGAAGGCGGCGAUCCUGGACCGGU